AUUGAACGCUGGCGGCAGGCCUAACACAUGCAAGUCGAGCGUGCGGCGGACGGUUGAGGAAUGUCUGGGAAACUACCGGUAGGAUGGGGAUCACUGCUGGAAACGGUUGCUAAAACCGCAUACCAUCGGCUGUGGCCAGAUGGGAGUAGCUAGUGGGUGGGGUAACGGCCCACCUAGGCGACGAUCCCUAGCUGGACUGAGAGGUUGACCAGCCAAACUGGAACUGAGACACGGUCCAGACUCCUACGGGAGGCAGCAGUGGGGAAUAUUGCACAAUGGGCGCAAGCCUGAUGCAGCCAUGCCGCGUGUAUGAAGAAGGCCUUCGGGUUGUAAAGUACUGUCAGCGGGGAGGCGUUACCCGAAGAAGAAGCCACGGCUAACUACGUGCCAGCCGCCGCGGUAAUUC
rnacentral:rRNA from 1 species